UACGUAGGAGGCGAGCGUUGUCCGGAUUUACUGGGCGUAAAGAGCGCGCAGGCGGCACCUCAAGUACUCUCUGAAAUCCACCUGCUCAACGGGUGGGGUGGAGAGUAGACUGAGGAGCUAGAGAGAGGUAGAGGGGGGUAGAAUUGCUGGUGUAGCGGUGAAAUGCGUAGAGAUCAGCAGGAAUACCCGUGGCGAAGGCGGCCCCCUGGGCCUCUUCUGACGCCGAGGCGCGAAGGCUGGGGGAGCGAACGGG
rnacentral:rRNA from 1 species